UUUCCUUGCAACUGAAAUGGUACAGUUCAACUAUGCAAAUUUUGGUAUCUGUACAGCUAAGGAUAUAUGUAUCAGUGAUGCUAACUUGUAAUAAAUUGCAUAAAGUCUGAAAGGGAGAAAGGCAAGGUUCUUCAUGUUCAUUGUGUGUCUCAUUUACUGCAAAUAUCUCAAUUUUUUUGUGUAAUCAGUUGCUCUGUGCCUCCCACUGGUGCUAGAAAACAAUCAGCAUGACAAUCAAAUUCAAGCGUACAUAUGAUGAACCUUUUCAUCUUCAGUGUGGAUUGAACGGCAACAUAUAUCUCCUCCAUAAUGGUACCAACAGCUGUCCAUGGCCGAGGAUUACUUUUCUUUUUAACUCCUUUUGUUAACUUACUACAUCUUUUCCUCUAUGGUAU
rnacentral:lncRNA from 1 species